AGCAGGGCGGCGUGCUUACACAUGCAAGUCGAACGGUGAAGCAGAGCUUGCUCUGUGGAUCAGUGGCGAACGGGUGAGUAACACGUGAGCAAUCUGCCCCUGACUCUGGGAUAAGCGCUGGAAACGGCGUCUAAUACCGGAUACGAGCUGCGACCGCAUGGUCAGUGCUGGAAAGAAUUUCGGUCAGGGAUGAGCUCGCGGCCUAUCAGCUUGUUGGUGAGGUAAUGGCUCACCAAGGCGUCGACGGGUAGCCGGCCUGAGAGGGUGACCGGCCACACUGGGACUGAGACACGGCCCAGACUCCUACGGGAGGCAGCGUGGGGAAUAUUGCACAAUGGGCGAAAGCCUGAUGCAGCAACGCCGCGUGAGGGAUGACGG
rnacentral:rRNA from 1 species